rnacentral:rRNA from 1 species
CACGUAGGGAGCAAGCGUUGUCCGGAUUUAUUGGGCGUAAAGAGCUCGUAGGUGGUUCGAUAAGUCGGGUGUGAAAACUCUGGGCUCAACUCAGAGACGCCACUCGAUACUGUCGUGACUGGAGUCUGGUAGGGGAGUGUGGAAUUCCCAGUGUAGCGGUGAAAUGCGCAGAUAUUGGGAGGAACACCAGUGGCGAAGGCGGCACUCUGGGCCAGUACUGACACUGAGGAGCGAAAGCGUGGGGAGCAAACAGG